CCUUCCCCCAUCCCUCCGUGCCUCCCUCCUCCUUUUCACCUUCCAAAAGCCGGGCGCAGGCGAGCCGAGCAGCAGCAACAAGUUCAAAAGAUGUUAACGUUGCAGGGGUUAACAUGGCUUCUCUCCAACUCGCCAGAAAGUCAGGCAGUCCCCUCGGUCUAGGUCUUGCAACAACUCCUUUUCUCGUCCUUUGCGAAUGACAGGAGGAUGUACAACCUUUUUCUUCAUGUCAGCGUCAAGGAGCGUGCGUCUCUAAGUCCUCUGCUUGCUGACUACAUGGAAAACAAACUCAGCAAGAUCAAAAUUGAAUUCAUCACCCCUCUUCUUUGAUUAUCUACUUCUCUUUUCUCUCCUGGACAAUGAAGUUCUACAAAGAAACCUGGUGGUCAUCUUGUUCUUCACUGCUUUUCCCCAGCAAAGACACACACUCAUCCAAUGACCCAGUAACUGUUAUAUUAUAUAUUGCACUUUCAUUACCAGUCUACCCUUACACUGUGCCUAGAGUGAUUUUUUAAAAUUAUUUUGAGAUAAUUACAGAUUGAUCACAGAUGUAAAAAUAAUAGAGAUUCCUUAUACCUAGCACCUAAUGUAACAUCUUGCACAUUAUCAUAUAUAAUCACAAUCAGGAAAUUGACAUUGAUAUUCUCAGUCCAUUCAAAGUGCUAUAACAAAAUGCCAUACACUGAGUGGCUUAUAAACAACAGAAAUUUAUUUCUUACAGUUCUUGAAGCUGGAAUAUCCUAGAUGAAGGAGGCAGCAGAUUUGGUGUUUGGUGAGGGCCUGCUUUCUGGUUCCUGGAUGGUGCUUUCUAGUUGUCUUUUCCACAUGGUGGAAAGAGAAGGCAGAUCUCUGGGGACUCCUUUAUUAGGGCAUUAAUCCCAAUUAUGAGGACUCUGAUGUUAUCAUUACCCUCAUGACCUAAUCACCUCCCAAAGGCCCCACCUCCUAAUACCAUUACAUUCGUGAUUA